rnacentral:rRNA from 1 species
GAUGAACGCUGGCGGCGUGCUUAACACAUGCAAGUCGAGCGAACAGACGAGGAGCUUGCUCUUCUGACGUUAGCGGCGGACGGGUGAGUAACACGUGGAUAACCUACCUAUAUGACUGGGAUAACUUCGGGAAACCGGAGCUACUACCGGAUAAUCUAUUGAACCGCAUGGUUCAAUAGUGAAAGACGGUUUUGCUGUCACUUAUAGAUUGAUCCGCGCCGCAUUAGCUAGUUGGUUAGGUAACGGCUUACCAAGGCAACGAUGCGUAGCCGACCUGAGAGGGGGAUCGCCCACACUGGAACUGAGACACGAUCCAGACUCCGAGGGGAGGCAGCGGUAGGGAAUCUUCGGCAAUGGGGGAAAGCCUGACGGAGCAACGCCGCGUGGAUGAUGAAGGUCUUCGGAUCGUAAGACUCUGUUAUUGGGGAAAAACGAAUGUGUAAGUAACGAUGCACGUCUUGACGGUACCGGAUCAGAAAGCCACGGCUAACUACGUG